UACGUAGGGUGCAAGCGUUGUCCGGAAUUAUUGGGCGUAAAGAGCUCGUAGGCGGUUUGUCGCGUCUGCUGUGAAAACUCAGGGCUUAACUCUGAGCUUGCAGUGGGUACGGGCAGACUAGAGUGCGGUAGGGGAGACUGGAAUUCCUGGUGUAGCGGUGAAAUGCGCAGAUAUCAGGAGGAACACCGGUGGCGAAGGCGGCAUCCUGGACCAACACUGACGGCUGAGGAGCGGAAAGCCAGGGGAGCAAACGGG
rnacentral:rRNA from 1 species